UCCCGGCCAGCUCAGUCAGCAGAGCAUGGGAUUCUUAAUCCCAGGGUCAUGGGUUCUAGCCCCAUGGUGGGUG
rnacentral:tRNA from 1 species